GUAUCCGAUCCCUGUCUUCCCCGGACAAAGCCAACUUGAUCAUUGUACACUACAUGCGGCAGUAUGGACCCCAAUUGUAUGGCAUAUAACUUGGCAAACAGUUUUGCAUCUGUAUUUAGGAGCGAUAUAGGACGAAAGUUUUGCGGGGACUUUGGAGGUUUGUUUGCUUUUGGAAGUGUUACAAUGUGGGCUAGUAGUGUUUCUUUGGGUAGAGUUUUAGUGAC